rnacentral:rRNA from 1 species
AUGAACGCUGGCGGCGUGCCUAAUACAUGCAAGUCGAGCGAACGGACGAGAAGCUUGCUUCUCUGAUGUUAGCGGCGGACGGGUGAGUAACACGUGGAUAACCUACCUAUAAGACUGGGAUAACUUCGGGAAACCGGAGCUAAUACCGGAUGAUAUUUUGAACCGCAUGGUUCAAAAGUGAAAGACGGUCUUGCUGUCACUUAUAGAUGGAUCCGCGCUGCAUUAGCUAGUUGGUAAGGUAACGGCUUACCAAGGCAACGAUGCAUAGCCGACCUGAGAGGGUGAUCGGCCACACUGGAACUGAGACACGGUCCAGACUCCUACGGGAGGCAGCAGUAGGGAAUCUUCCGCAAUGGGCGAAAGCCUGACGGAGCAACGCCGCGUGAGUGAUGAAGGUCUUCGGAUCGUAAAACCCUGUUAUUAGGGAAGAACAUAUGUGUAAGUAACUGUGCACAUCUUGACGGUACCUAAUCAGAAAGCCACGGCUAACUACGUG